CGCUGGCGGCGUGCCUAAUACAUGCAAGUAGAACGCUGAAGGAGGAGCUUGCUUCUCCGGAUGAGUUGCGAACGGGUGAGUAACGCGUAGGUAACCUGCCUGGUAGCGGGGGACAACUACUGGAAACGAUAGCUAAUACCGCAUAAGAGUAGAUGUUGCAUGACAUUUGCUUAAAAGGUGCAAUUGCAUCACUACCAGAUGGACCUGCGUUGUAUUAGCUAGUUGGUGGGGUAACGGCUCACCAAGGCGACGAUACAUAGCCGACCUGAGAGGGUGAUCGGCCACACUGGGACUGAGACACGGCCCAGACUCCUACGGGAGGCAGCAGUAGGGAAUCUUCGGCAAUGGACGGAAGUUUGACCGAGCAACGCCGCGUGAGUGAAGAAGGUUUUCGGAUCGUAAAGCUCUGUUGUAAGAGAAGAACGAGUGUGAGAGUGGAAAGUUCACACUGUGACGGUAUCUUACCAGAAAGGGACGGCUAACUACGUGCCAGCAGCCGCGGUAAUACGUAGGUCCCGAGCGUUGUCCGGAUUUAUUGGGCGUAAAGCGAGCGCAGGCGGUUAGAUAAGUCUGAAGUUAAAGGCUGUGGCUUAACCAUAGUACGCUUUGGAAACUGUUUAACUUGAGUGCAAGAGGGGAGAGUGGAAUUCCAUGUGUAGCGGUGAAAUGCGUAGAUAUAUGGAGGAACACCGGUGGCGAAAGCGGCUCUCUGGCUUGUAACUGACGCUGAGGCUCG
rnacentral:rRNA from 1 species